CCCGGCCCAGCCAGGACACCCCACACGAGGGGGUUCCAGACGGCUCCCUGGGCCCCCCACUCCAGCUGGAACACCUCGCACAGAGGGGUUGUUUUCUGUACAAAACAAACUCUAUGGUGAAAAGUGAUAGAAGUGAAGCCAUAACAAAGGACGAUCAAUUUUUUACGGGCAGCACCAAAUGCAGGGAAAGUCGCUGAAUGUCUCUCUGAAGCUGGGGACUCUUCACUCACAGGCUGAAGUGUGACCCAUUCCUGUCACCACCCUGCUGCUGCUCCUGUUUCUGCUCCUGUUCCUGCUGCUGCUCCUGCUCCUGUUUCUGCUCCUGCUGCUGCUCCUGCUCCUGCUCCUGUUCCUGCUGCUGCUCCUGCUCCUGCUGCUCCUGUUCCUGCUCCUGCUCCUGCUCCUGUUCCUGCUCCUGCUCCUGUUCCUGCUGCUGCUCCUGUUCCUGCUCCAGCCCCUGUUCCUGCUCCUGUUCCUGCUGCUGCUGCUGCCCCUGCUCCUCUCCAGCCCCGGCGCGGACGCGGCUCCAGCGCUCCCGGGGCCCCGCAGGGCCAGAGCGGCACCUGCAGGCCGCGAGCGCUGCACUGCGGGCCUGGUGAACAGCGAGAUCAGGAGGGCUUCACCCGCUCCCACCGUCUACUGCCACAGGAUGAUAGUCCUGGAAAGAGAACGGCUGAUUGCAAUAGGAGGGGCAUCGAGUAUCUUGUCAGAAC
rnacentral:lncRNA from 1 species